rnacentral:lncRNA from 1 species
AUUGUUGACUUAUUGCAAUAUUCUGAGGAUUCUGAAAUUGGAUUAAUGGCAUUCAACUGCGUAUUUGAAAUCGGGUAUUUUGGAAGAAAAAGAGUCUUUUUAAGCAAUGACGAAUGCAGGUUUGAUCAAGAAACUUGUGGAAUUGCAGAGGUUGAGAAGUAAUCAAUUUGCAGGAUGUGUAGUGAAAUUCACAAUCCAAUUCAAGCAAAAAGGCCAAUGUAUGAAUUGAGCUAAAAAAAGGCAAUUCUGGCUUCAUCUGUUGGGUCCUCAAGAAAAUGCUAUCAAUUCUAGAAAGAUGGAUGGAUGUAGUUGUUGACUUCAUUAGGGCCACGCGGACGACAAUAGUCUCGCCUAAUCGAAAGAGAUGCAUCCAGUAAUUCCAAAUUUGACAUUUAAUUCAUAAAGAAAUUAAUAAACGUGUCACUUCUUCAAUGUUUCUUCUAAAGAAAGAUGAUCCAGUCUCCCUCAUCCAUGUUGUAUAGUUUAAUGCUCCAAUGAAUUCAUAUACUUCGAGGGGUUGUUUGAUAAAGUUUUAACAGAUUUGAUAAAAUUUGAUCAAAAUUAUAGUUAAAUAGUUGAAGUAAUUGGGAUACACGAAGUUUGAGUUAUGCAAAUGCACACUAAAGCUAAAAUUGUCAUUUGUAAUUGCUGUUACAUGUUUCAUUUGUGUUUCAUUUGCAAUAAAAAUAUCAAGGACUAGUGGAUGGAUAUGCUGGAAAUUUGUAUAUGAAAUUGGCUUUGACCAAUUCUUAAUUAUUAAAUGGAAAUUGU